AAGGGUCCGAUUUCUCAUGAGCUGCUGAACCACAGAUUUUAGAGCUGAAAGACACCCUGCAAGUGAUCUAAUCCAGUCAUCAGAUGUUGCAGUUAUAAGCCAUAGGCGGGUAAAUGUGGACCUGGUGAGUACGACUUACAAAACCAACAGUCACAGGAAAAGCAACUUCACAUGCGUUCUCUGUGGAGUUGAAAGGUAGGACAGAAACGCCAUCUUUCUGGGAAUAAAAACGCACCAAAAGUGUUAACAGCGUGCCAGGCUGAAAUGAAAAGAAGGCACUGAGGUGUAUAUAUGUGUGUAUCUGUGUGUGUGUGUGUGAGAAAACCAGAGAGAGAAGAGAGAGGUCAUGUAGAUUUUUUUUUUAGAUGAAAACAACGGAUACUGGUUCUUUCUUCUAGAUCAGCUCAGGAGACCAAAAUAUUCAAGAUUUUCUUUGACAGGCUGAGCCUGAGAAUGUCUUCCACACCCUUUCUCUGCUAAGGGGGAACUGUCCUACUUGCAGCCCCUGCAACUCAGCAGCCUGUUGGGUCCCUUCCCCUCCUCUCCAACCACACCUGACCCCAGGGGUCCCAGGCCUUAAGCUGGCCUGGGACAUUCAUCUCAUCACCUGGUGUGAAAGAUGCGUUGGGCCAGUCAGAUCCUUGCUUUUCAAGAUCUAAAGGAUCAGAAGACAGGGUGGCGAGCAGCAGGAGCACAGAGUAAAACUUCAAGGAGCAGAAAGGCCCCAGGGUGACCUGGUGGCCUCACACAGGCCAGCGCAUGAGGUAGCUGGCCUAGCUGUUGGAGCCAUAGAGGAGAAUAAGCCCACUGCAAGAAGCAGAAGGGCUGCUAGCCGAGAGGAGACUGGAUGCCCCUGGAAGAACUGAAGGAGGUAGCAGGGUGCCUAGUGCAUACCUCAUUCCCCUUUUUGAAGCAAGUUGUUUGGGUCUCUAGUUCCCCACAACUAAAUUCUGUAGAGAAAAUUUUGAAAGUGUGAUCAGAUUGGAAACCACGUGGCAAAGGCAACACUGCGUUUAUGUACAGACAUCUCAUUGUAAGAGAGCCUGCAGGGGUGUGUGUGGAG
rnacentral:lncRNA from 10 species